AUGGAGGCGCAUAUGCGAUCCAUGACGGCCACCUUUCUCCUCGUGCUCCUCUCCCUGUCCGCAGCCGCUCCGUCAGUUCGUGGCCAGGCGGUGGCGGCCGCGCCGGCUCCAGCGGCGGCUGCCCCGAAGACGAUCAAGGCGGUGCUGACCAAGGCCGGGCAGUUCACCAAGUUCCUCCAGCUGCUGCAGUCGACGCAGGAGGAGGAGCAGAUCGACACCCAGCUCAAGGGCAAGGCCUCAUCCGGCGCCGGUCUCACCGUCUUCGCGCCGCCGGACAACGCCUUCACCGCGCUCAAGUCCGGCUCCCUCAAUUCCCUCUCCGACCAACAAAAGACGUCGCUGGUGCAGUUCCACGUGGUCUCCCAGCUGCUCCCCAUGGCGCAGUUCGACACGGUGAGCAACCCGCUGCGCACGCAGGCCGGCGACACCGGCAGGGGCAAGUACCCGCUCAACGUCACGUCCGACGGCGGCGGGAGGGUGAACAUCUCCACCGGCGUCGUCAACGCCUCCGUCGACGGCACGCUCUACACCGGCGACAGGCUGGUGGUGUACCAGGUGGACAAGGUGCUGCUUCCGUGGGCGCUCUACGGGCCGCCUGUGCCCGCGCCCGUGCCGUCGCCGGCGGCGGACAAGGACAAGAAGAAGGCCGGGCCGGUGGCGGUGGCCGACGCGCCGGAGGCCGAUACAGCCACGCCGUCCUCGGCGGCGCCCCGGGAGAUGCGGGGCCUCGGCGGCGGUCUCUGCAUGGUGGCCAUCGUCGUGGCGGCCGCGUGGUGUGGCAUGUGA
rnacentral:rRNA from 1 species